rnacentral:ncRNA from 1 species
CGAAGGUUUGGUCCUAGCCUCAAUAUUAGUUCUAGCUCGGCUUACACAUGCAAGUCUCAGCAUUCCGGUGAGGACGCCCUAGUCAACCCCAAAAAUUUAUCUAGGAGCAGGCAUCAGGCACAUUAAUUAAUAGCCCAUAACGCCUCGCCCAACCACAUCCACACGGAAACUCAGCAGUGAUAAAUAUUGCCCCAUGAGCGCAAGCUCGAAUCAACCAGAGCUAAAAGAGCCGGUCAAUCCCGUGCCAGCCACCGCGGUUAUACGAAUGACACAAAUUAAUACUCACGGCGUUAAGGGUGAUUAAAAAAUAACUAACCCAAAAUAAAGUCAAGAGCCCGCCAAGCCGUCAUACGCUCUUACGGCCAGAAACACCACCAACGAAAGUGACUUUAAAAAAAUAGAAUAUUUGACCUCACGACAGUUAAGACCCAAACUAGGAUUAGAUACCCUACUAUGCUUAACCAUAAACACAGCUAUUAAACAACCCACCUUAAUAUUCGCCAGAACACUACAAGCGCUAGCUUAAAACCUAAAGGACUUGGCGGUGCUCCAUACCCGCCUAGAGGAGCCUGUUCUAUAACCGAUAAUCCACGUUCUACCCCACCACUUCUUGCCCCGCCCCCGCCUAUAUACCGCCGUCGUAAGCCCACCCUAUGAAGGCCACACAGUAAGCAAAACGGAAACUUCCCCAAUACGUCAGGUCGAGGUGUAGCGAAUGAAGUGGAAAGAAAUGGGCUACAUUUUCUCCAAAGAACAUACGAACGAAAGUAUGAAAAACUUCCCAAAGGUGGAUUUAGCAGUAAGUGAACUUUAGAAUACUACACUGAAACUGGCCCUGGAGCGCGCACACACCGCCCGUCACUCUCCUCAAAACAAUCCCUAAAACAUCCAUAAAAAAACUUAAUAUCAAGAGGAGGCAAGUCGUAACAUGGUAAGUGUACUGGAAAGUGCACUUGGAUUAAC